UCAGUUAGCUGUGAAGUCUUCAACUUCGGCCUCGUAUUUUAGCCUUUAUUUGUUUACUUUUUUAGCAAAUUGGCAUCACUAAAAGUAUGCCGAAUGAGCUAAUAUCACUUCCUGUUUAUAAUUUACUCGCUGUUGUACAGAUAGCUUACACUGGAUUAGUUUGAUACUGAAAGAAACUUAAAAACGAGACGAUUCUCGGGCAGGUUCGGCAAUUGUGAGGAGCGUCUGUUUCCCUGUGAUUUCUAAACUGAUUUUUCGGACGUGUAUUCAGGACGGACAUCAGAGACAGUGACAUCUUCGGAAAGGCAGUUCCCUCCAUCUGCUCAGAGGUCCAGAUCCUGCAUCAUCUUCACUGUCUACCUCAGGACCAAAGCAGCUCCUGGACUGGUCGUCCUCAUGCUCCAUUCGCUCUUCUUCUGCAUCAGACCCCUGAGAGCUCUGCCCAGCUUCACUCACUGGUUAGGAAACAUGACAAUCAGCAGUUCCCUCCAUCUGCUCAGAGGUCCAGAUCCUGCAUCAUCUUCACCGUCUCCUUCAGAACCAAAGCAGCUCCUGAACUGGUCGUCUUCAUGCUCCAUUCGCUCUUCUUCUGCAUCAGACCCCUGAGAGCUCUGCCCAGCUUCUCUCACUGGUUAGGAAACAUGACAAUCAGCAGUUCCCUCCAUCUGCUCAGAGGUCCAGAUCCUACAUCAUCUUCACCGUCUCCUUCAGAACCAAAGCAGCUCCUGAACUGGUCGUCUUCAUGCUCCAUUCGCUCUUCUUCUGCAUCAGACCCCUGAGAGCUCUGCCCAGCUUCUCUCACUGGUUAGGAAACAUGACAAUCAGUGAACGAUGUGUCAAGAGGCAAAACCAGCAAAAUGACAUUUGGUGAAGGAGAGCACAGAGAGACCCCGUUUAAAAUCUCAGCCUUCAAAGGCUUUGGGGUGAACGUUGCUGGGAAGAAUUUCCACCAUCCAGGAG